rnacentral:tRNA from 2 species
GCGUUCUUAGCUCAGCUGGAUAGAGCGUCUGGCUACGGACCAGAAGGUCGGGGGUUCGAAUCCUCUAGGACGCA